rnacentral:miRNA from 1 species
CUAUAUUUAAUAAUCAAACAAAUAACGGUCUAACAAAACAAAUAUAAUAAUAGAAUUAUAACUAACAAACUCAAACGAUUGAAAAUCGUAACAAUAGUUAGGUUGUAAGUUGUACACAAAAAUUUCAAUGGAGUGGGCAUUUUUAUGUUUUCCAAGAAGAGACGCUCAGCGGCCGUGCGCUACAACGAACGCAGUUUGCCGCCGCGGAAACACAAUAUUAUCCUUAUUCAAUACAUUUUAAGGCUCACAAACCCUUCUCAGAACAAUUUGAUUGUACACACCGCUUCCUUUUGUUCUAAAUUGAAACAAAAUUUGCAACCAUCGCUCUGCGUAUUGGCAAAAAAUUUUGGUUCAACGAAGGUAGAAAAUCCCCUUGCUUUAACUUUUAUAACAAUGGUUUUAAAAUCGGAGCAAUAUUUAAAUACAUUGUUAGUGUUAAACAGUUAAAUAUAUCUAGUUAGCUAGUUAUCUACACAUUAUAAUAAUUUAAGAACAAACUAAAUACAUUUUGAAUACGCGGUACCAUUAAAAUAAACUGAACAUCAAUAAAGUUAAAAAAAUAACUUAGUAAUACUUAAGAAUAUAGCUUAUAUUACAUAAUAAUCAGUUUAAUAUGUUAAAUUAAAAUUAGUAUAUCAAAAAUAUUUGUUACUUUCUUACAUCAAAAGUAAUUUUAGCAGUUUAGGGGUAGUAAAUAAUAUAUAACACCUGUAAUAUUUUCAUCAUCAACAAUAAGACUCAUAAGUCAUUACAAAGUUUUUCUAAAAUAAUAAUAUUCAUUAUUACUUACCUAUUACAAAUGAAAACGGAUGAACGAAAACAUUUAUAUCAAACUUUAUACUUACUUGAAUAUAAAAAACAAACUUUUUAAAAUAGUUCCUUACAGCUAAAAUAAAAAAAAAUCAUUGACGAGGGCUCAAUGGCAUUUUUUGUCAAUUUUUGACUGCACGUGGGAUUUUCCUGGGUGAAAUUUUAAAAAAGCCGCUGUAUACAAUGCAACCUUGUCUGUUGCGAUUUUUUUACCUGCACCCAUGGGCUUACCAUAGACAAUUCCACGUAUUGUAUAAAUCUAUAAUAGUAUUUUUUUAUCUACUAUCAUGUUAUACAGUAUUUGAGUGGUUAGCGGAAUAUUUUGUCGAAUUGGCUUGAACGCAAUAUUUUUUUAAAUAUUUAUACAUUUUUUCAGGUUGUGUCUGGUUACAUAGCUUUGUAACUUUUCGUUGAACAGUAGCAAACCCUGAGACGAAAUGCAAACAUGUUUCUUUAUCUAGUAAUAAAAUCUAUGUGAAAGCAAAGCUUUAAGACAGAUACUUUUAUUUUGGAGUUUUAACCAAAAACGUAUGUGUACAUCCUGCAUAUCCGGAAAAAAACUUUCAAUCAAAGAAAUAGGCAAUUAAUUUGUACGUGGUACUUACAGGGAUGCCUUCUAAAAAUAAUUUUAAUCAAAAAAUAUAUAAAUAAUUCUAUAUAAGUAUAUUUUUGCGUGAUGGUACCUAAAUGUGACGACAGGGCAUAUUUCACCGUGAUAAUAAAAAUAAAAACAGUAGUGAUAUCAAAUCAAAAACCUAUGCUUGCUAGCGAGGCACUUAAAGAUAAGUAUGAACUUUUAAAAGUUUACGAUGGUUAUGUUAACAGCACAAAGAAAUUCAAUUAAACAUCGUGUUGUUUGAAUUUAUAACGAAAUACCUGAUUGUUAUCAACAGAAUUCAAAAACGCGAAAUAUCAGAGAAAGUUGUUUCGAAAUCGCUACAACUUUUCGCUUUUAGUCAUAAACGUUCAUAUAAAAAAAAAAAAAUAUGUUUAUAUUAUAAUCCCUCUAGUACAAUAAAAAUGUAUUGCAAUAUGAUUUUGAAUUACUUCUUUUCCUAUAAUUUGUCCCGGCAAGGGUAUUUUCAAAAAAGUAGGUAGUUUUAUUAUCAUUGACUGUUUGAUCCAAAAAUGACGUCAUUAUGUCCCAUAAAAUUAAUUUAUCACCACGUGGCGCGUGCGUAGCUGAUAUAUUUUUUCCCAAUCGAUAAUGGAAUAUGUGUCCCUCUAUUUUGAUGUGUAAUCUAUGGUCGAUUGCAGCGCGGGCGCAGGUAGCGGACCCUGGAUGGACGGUUUGAAUGUCGAAUAUCGUAAUGUUACCAGCAUUAAACAAUUGUUUUGCCCUUUUCCGUUAUGUUGGGAAUUACGGUUUUACGAUACAGGGUUUUUAAAACGUCAGUUUGAGGUAAAUAGUAUAUUUUGUAUAAAUAAUUAAACUUAUAUAAAAUUAUAAAAUAGGCACGAAAAAAAUAAACUUAGUAUUUUCCCCUUUUACGUCAAACCAAGCAGAAAUAUCGUGAUUUUAUAUGUUUUCCGUAUGAUUUGUCAUUGGCCAGUUUAACCACAUUCCGAAAAGGAAAAGACAUUGAGGUAACUUAAAAUAACAUAUUACGUAUCUGUAUCUUUUGAAACUAACCAUCAAAGGAUCUAGUCAAUAAGAAAUUGGCGUAAAGAAUGAGAUUAUCGACUAUCUCGACCGCAUGAACUUUGUAUUGACCAAAGCGAAAAGCUCGACCAUGCGUCAUACGUCCGAUAUGUUGAUCGCCAUCAUUAAACGUGUCAAGGAUCACAACUUUCAAAUGCGGCUGCGACGCGUCCAGCUUCCCUAGCAGUGAUGCAAAGCUCUCACGUUGACAACACCGUCGGGAAGUUCAGGAACCACUUCCCAGAACGAUAAAGGGCCGGAGGGUGUGAAGCGGCGCGCAGGGGGGAAGACGGCGCGACAGCUGCGCGCGCGUCGCUCUCCCCGCGGGCCCGCGCCUUCGUCACGGCACUCAACAGUCGGCGCUCACACGAGACGCACGUUUGCGCCGAUCGUCUCGCGAAAUACGCGCGUAACAUUUCCGUUGGAGUCGAGUGCGUGAGUUUAAACUUUCCAUUUGACAAAUGGAGCGUUCACGUGUGCCGGUGGAGAUCGUCAGAGGCGUCGCGCCGGCGAAGGACGCACGCCGGGCGCGGCGCAGGAGCGGCCGUCGGCAUCCUUUGUCCGGGAGGCCCGUUUGGCUGGGCGGUGACUGGCGCUAUAUUCGGUACGUUUGCGAUAUUGCACCAGUCCCGGCCUAUCCGAGCGGGCCGGGUCGUCGGGGACCGCUAGUCGGGCGCUCCGCCGCUCCGUCGCUCAGCAUCCGCGGCGCGCGGUCCCGUUAGGCGGCCGGUCGGUCGUUCACUGCGGUGGCCACGCUUAGGUCGCGAUUAGGUGUAAACGUUGUGUCUGUUAAUCAAAUUGCACCAAUCCCGGCCUGCUUGUGGUCGCCAUGCCGCGUGAGACCGUCGCCGCCGCACCGCCGCCACCGCACGUGCUGUCGCGACGUGGACCCGCUGCAAGUUGCAACUUACCCCGUAUACUAAAUUUUAUAACCUGCACUGUGCAACAUUUAUUACCUAAGCAUCGAGAGCGUUUUCCUUUAAAAACAAGAUCAAAACACGAAUGGCGGGAACAAAAAGCGUGACGUGUGCGAUUAUUUUGUAAUAUUCUGUGAAGGCGAGAUGGAUACGGCGCGUGAUUUUAAAAGUGAGUGCAUUACGUAAUUAAUAUCAUAAUUAUUGUGAACGUGAAUGUUUAAGUAUGGUAUAAUUUGUGGCCUCGUGUGUUUACAAGUUUUUUUUAAUUUAUGUUAUUUCCAAGACAUUCAGUUGUUUGAAGGUAAGAACGAAUUAACUCUGGUAAGAUAUUCAGAAUAUAUUAUAAAAUAUUCAGACCUUACCUAAUGUGGAUUGGUUGGUCAUAAAUGAUAAUAAUAUCUAAGUUUAAUAUCAUUCUUUUCUUAUUCAUUAUUGGACUUUGAAUCAAGUUAAUUAGCGCCCUAAUUAAAAUAAAAUAUUUAAGAAAUAUUUGGAAGAAUUAAUACAAUAUCUCCAGUGCCAAGUAUCGCAGACCUUGCAAUCCUUAAUUUAAAAUUUCCACCUAAAAUUAAUAAAUUGUUGUACAAAAUAAAAUUAGUUGUAAAUUACACAAGACCAUAACAAAUGCGUGCCAUUUUACAUAAUGUACUUCUACUCAUUAUUACAGUGUGCAUUUUCGAUGAAAGCUUGUCGAAUUCUAUUAUUUAUAGGUCAUUAAAUUCGUGGUAGUUCAUUAAGCAAUUUUUUUCUCUGUUAGUGGGCACAGUUGUUAGUUCACAAUAGUACCUGAAUAAAUCAAAGCUCUUCUACUUUUUGACUUGAAUCGAAAUUUUGUAUUUAUUUAAAAUAUAAUAAAUGUUUUGAAGUAUAUUUAGUGAAAAAAAAGUUUAGUCUAUUUGAAAUUUUGAAUUUGGUCAUUGUGGCUGUCUACGUCGUAUAAGCGAAUGAAAUAACUAAUCAAUGAAUUGGUUGAAAAAAAAUCAACGACUGCACAAACUUAUGAAAAAAAAUAUAUAUUAGAUGGUUUUUAUGUGGUAUCUAAGUAAUGGAAAAGAGCUAAUGACUUCAAACGUCUGAAUAAAUCGUCCUAAAUCAUAUUCGGAAACCAUCGCGAUCACAUUAACCAAACAAAAAAAUCGCUUCAAAAUAAGUCCAGUAGUUUGAGAACUACUACGAUACUAUACAUUCAGACCCACACUUUAAACUUAUAUCUCUUUCCGUCUAGAGAAAAAGGGACUUUUUCAUAUCAAUUCACACAAAAUUCAGACGUGGACAGAUAAAAAAUCAGUGGAAAAAGCCAUUCCGAGUUCUUGACCUAAAGGUACAGUUACGUGGUCAUAGAAACCAAAGGAGCCCCUCUGUGUGUUAUCGUGUGUUUGUAAACAUGAGAUAAGUAGGAAAUAGGUAUGUUGGAAACGCACGUUGCAUCACCGGUGACCGUUGGACUGUCUAAAUUCCCUUUUCACCCGCCUUUGAAAGAAGGGUAAUGAUUUUGACACCCUAUGUGUAGAUUUUAAACUCUAGUUUACUAUUUUGUGAAAUGAGCGUGUCUAGAUUCAAGUUAUAGAUUAAAGCGUGAUUAUAGUUUUUUUUUCUGUAUCAUGUACUAAGUUUUUUUUUCUCUGUUUAUCGUGUACUAUAAUUUAUACCUUACAUUGAUUUUAAAAAGAGCAACACCAGAGUUUCUUGCCCGUUCUUCACUGGUGAAAACUGAGUUUUCGAACUGGUGGUAGAGUUAAUAUUGACGGAAUCUAAAUAAUGUUUAACAUUUUAAAGGUUUCAAAUAAAUUAUUUCAUUUCAUUUAACAUGAAAUGUUUGGAGCAUUUCGGGCAAGAAUAUUUAGCUUUAUACUUAAUAGUUAUUUUUUAUUUUCGUUACAUUUAUGUUUGAUUUCCUAUAGCAACACGUGACGCUCAAGUUUUACACUAUCAAAACGGGGUGCUAAAUGAUGCGGAUCGUUCCGUUAUUUAGCCGCUCGGCAUAUCUCAAAAAACAUGACAUAAAAUAAUGUAUUAGCGUGCCAAAUAACUAUUCGGGUAUUUUAACAGUCAUAAAUUAAAAAACAUAAUAACAACAAAUCUGUUAAUUUGUUUCCUGUUAGCCGACUUAGGACUUGUUAUAUUAUAGACGAUAUUAAUUUGAAGCACUCAAAAAUAUAUUUUUUUAAGUAGUUAUGAGUUUUUAAAAUACAGAAAGUGGUAUAUUCCACAUAUUAUGGUCUGUACAGUUAUGUCGUGUUUACAUUUUUAUUUUAAUAUUUUUCGAUUUUUCGACAAGUCACUGUUAUUCAAGUACACUACUUAGUUUAAUGUAUAUUUUCCAAACACUAUUAGUAACCUAUACCAUAUUCGGAGAAAAAUUAAAAAUGAGAUUGAACAAAAUAGCUGCGUUUUCUACAGUUUUUGUUCAUCUUUAAAUU